rnacentral:rRNA from 1 species
AGUGAACGCUGGCGGUAGGCCUAACACAUGCAAGUCGAACGGCAGCACAGUAAGAGCUUGCUCUUACGGGUGGCGAGUGGCGGACGGGUGAGGAAUACAUCGGAAUCUACUUUUUCGUGGGGGAUAACGUAGGGAAACUUACGCUAAUACCGCAUACGACCUACGGGUGAAAGCAGGGGAUCUUCGGACCUUGCGCGAUCGAAUGAGCCGAUGUCGGAUUAGCUAGUUGGCGGGGUAAAGGCCCACCAAGGCGACGAUCCGUAGCUGGUCUGAGGGGAUGAUCAGCCAAAUUGGAACUGAGACACGGUCAAGCCUCCUAGGGGAGGCAGCAGUGGGGAAUAUUGGACAAUGGGCGCAAGCCUGAUCCAGCCAUACCGCGUGGGUGAAGAAGGCCUUCGGGUUGUAAAGCCCUUUUGUUGGGAAAGAAAAGCAGCAGGUUAAUACCCCGCUGUUCUGACGGUACCCACAGAAUAAGCACCGGCUAACUUCGUG